UACGAAGGGGGGCUAGCGUUGCUCGGGAAUCACUGGGCGUAAAGGGUGCGUAGGCGGGUCUUUUAAGUCAGGGGUGAAAUCCUGGAGCUCAACUCCAGAACUGCCUUUGAUACUGAAGAUCUUGAGUUCGGGAGAGGUGAGUGGAACUGCGAGUGUAGAGGUGAAAUUCGUAGAUAUUCGCAAGAACACCAGUGGCGAAGGCGGCUCACUGGCCCGAUACUGACGCUGAGGUGCGAAAGCUAGGGGAGCAAACAGG
rnacentral:rRNA from 1 species